rnacentral:rRNA from 1 species
AAUGAACGCUGGCGGCAGGCCUAAUACAUGCAAGUCGAACGGCAGCACAGCAGAGCUUGCUCUGUGGGUGGCGAGUGGCGGACGGGUGAGGAAUACAUGGGAAUCUGCCCAGUCGUGGGGGAUAACGUAUGGAAACGUACGCUAAUACCGCAUGCGCCCUACGGGGGAAAGUCGGGGACCGCAAGGCCUGACGCGAUUGGAUGAGCCCAUGUUCGAUUAGCUAGUUGGCGGGGUAAAGGCCCACCAAGGCGACGAUCGAUAGCUGGUCUGAGAGGAUGAUCAGCCACACUGGAACUGAGACACGGUCCAGACUCCUACGGGAGGCAGCAGUAGGGAAUAUUGGACAAUGGGGCAACCCUGAUCCAGCCAUGCCGCGUGAGUGAAGAAGGCCCUCGGGUUGUAAAGCUCUUUUGUCCGGAAAGAAAAGCAUCUGGUUAAUACCCGGGUGUUCUGACGGUACCGGAAGAAUAAGCACCGGCUAACUUCGUGCC